rnacentral:rRNA from 1 species
CCUAGGGGUGGCAGCAGUGGGGAAUAUUGGACAAUGGGCGAAAGCCUGAUCCAGCCAUGCCGCGUGUGUGAAGAAGGCCUUCGGGUUGUAAAGCACUUUCAGUGGGGAAGAAAGCCUUGGGGCUAAUACCCUCGAGGAAGGACAUCACCCACAGAAGAAGUACCGGCUAACUCCGUGCCAGCAGCCGCGGUAAUACGGAGGGUGCGAGCGUUAAUCGGAAUUACUGGGCGUAAAGCGCGCGUAGGCGGUCUGAUAAGCCGGUUGUGAAAGCCCCGGGCUCAACCUGGGAACGGCAUCCGGAACUGUCAGGCUAGAGUGCAGGAGAGGAAGGUAGAAUUCCCGGUGUAGCGGUGAAAUGCGGAGAGAUCGGGAGGAAUACCAGUGGCGAAGGCGGCCUUCUGGACUGACACUGACGCUGAGGUGCGAAAGCGUGGGUAGCAAACAGGAUUAGAUACCCGAGUAGUC